rnacentral:rRNA from 1 species
UAGGGAAUAUUGCACAAUGGGCGCAAGCCUGAUGCAGCAACGCCGCGUGCGCGAUGAAGGCCUUCGGGUCGUAAAGCGCUUUUCUGGAGGAUGAGCAAGGACAGUACUCCAGGAAGAAGUCUCGGCUAACUACGUGCCAGCAGCCGCGGUAAAACGUAGGAGACAAGCGUUAUCCGAAUUUACUGGGCGUAAAGCGCGUGCAGGUGGUUCGGUAAGUUGCCUGUGAAAUCGCCUGGCUCAACUGGGCGAGGCCGGGCAAGACUGCCGGGCUAGAGGGCGGUAGAGGGAGGUGGAAUUCCCGGUGUAGUGGUGAAAUGCGUAGAUAUCGGGAGGAACACCUGUGGCGAAAGCGGCCUCCUGGACCGCACCUGACGCUCAGACGCGAAAGCUAGGGGAGUGAACGGG